rnacentral:rRNA from 1 species
GCUGAUCGCACAAAUAAUAACUGAUCAGUUCGGACUGUAGUCUGCAACCCGACUACAUCGAAGCUGGAAUCGCCUAGUAAUCGCGGAUCAGAAUGCCGCGGGUGAAUACGUUCCCGGGUCUUGUACACACCGCCCGUCACACCAUGGGAGUCGGUAACGCCCGAAGUCAGUGGCCUGAACCGUAACGGAGUUGUGUGCCCCACACUUGUUUAUG